rnacentral:rRNA from 1 species
CCUAACACAUGCAAGUCGAACGGUAACAGGAAACAGCUUGCUGUUUCGCUGACGAGUGGCGGACGGGUGAGUAAUGUCUGGGAAACUGCCUGAUGGACGGGGAUAACUACUGGAAACGGUAACUAAUACCGCAUAACGUCGCAAGACCGCGGAGGGGGACCUUCGGGCCUCAUGCCAUCAGAUGUGCCCAGAUGGGAUUAGCUAGUAGGUGGGGUAACGGCUCACCUAGGCGACGAUCCCUAGCUGGUCUGAGAGGAUGACCAGCCACCCUGGAACUGAGACACCGUCCAGACUCCUACGGGAGGCAGCAGUGGGGAAUAUUGCACAAUGGGCGCAAGCCUGAUGCAGCCAUGCCGCGUGUAUGAAUAAGGCCUUCGGGUUGUAAAGUACUUUCAGCGGGGAGGAAGGGAGUAAAGUUAAUACCUUUGCUCAUUGACGUUACCCGCAGAAGAAGCACCGGCUAACUCCGUGCCAGCAGCCGCGGUAAUACGGAGGGUGCAAGCGUUAAUCGGAAUUACUGGGCGUAAAG